GGAGUGGACGACGUCAAAUCAGCAUGGCUCUUACGUCCAGGGCUACACACAUAAUACAAUGGCCGGUACAACGGGCAGCUAAACCGCGAGGUGGAGCUAAUCCUUCAAAACCGGCCCCAGUUCAGAUUGCAGGCUGCAACUCGUCUGCAUGAAGUUGGAAUCGCUAGUAAACGUGCAUCAGCCACGGCGCGUUGAAUACGUUCUCGGGUCUU
rnacentral:rRNA from 1 species